rnacentral:rRNA from 1 species
GAUGAACGCUGGCGGCGUGCCUAACACAUGCAAGUCGAACGAAUCAGAUAUUCAACACUGAGCUUUUAGACGAGGGAAUAAAGUUAGCCAGCAUCAAGGACGAACGAUAGAGAGUCCUUUGCGCGUUAAAAAGUGUGCUAACACAGAGUUGUCUGAAUGUUGAGUGUUGAAUAUCUGAUUAGUGGCGGACGGGUGAGUAACGCGUGGGGAACCUGCCCUAUACAGGGGGAUAGCCUCGGGGAAACCGGGAUUAAUACCCCAUAAAACUCUAGUAUCGCAUGAUACGUGAGUCAAAGCUGAGGCGGUAUAGGAUGGCCCCGCGUCUGAUUAGCUAGUUGGUGAGGUAACGGCUCACCAAGGCGACGAUCGGUAGCCGGCCUGAGAGGGUGGACGGCCACACUGGAACUGAGACACGGUCCAGACUCCUACGGGAGGCAGCAGUGGGGAAUAUUGCACAAUGGGGAAACCCUGAUGCAGCGACGCCG